rnacentral:misc_RNA from 1 species
AAGAAAACUCCUAAAAUGACUUCUAUUAUCCAUCAUAUAUAUCAGCCACUAAAUAUGUGAAUACUAUUUACUUUCUUCGUAGUUUCAACUAAUAAUCACUUACCUCAUGUCAAUAGCAUUAGAAGGGGAAAAGAGAAAUGAAGAAAAUAUCCGCUGAAGUUGUUCUGAGCCAAAGUUGAGUCCACUUUUUAGGUUUAAAAUCGAAUCAAAA